AGUGAACGCUGGCGGUAGGCCUAACACAUGCAAGUCGAACGGCAGCACAGGAGAGCUUGCUCUCUAGGUGGCGAGUGGCGGACGGGUGAGGAAUACAUCGGAAUCUGCCCAGUCGUGGGGGAUAACGUAGGGAAACUUACGCUAAUACCGCAUACGACCUUCGGGUGAAAGAGGGGGAUCGCAAGACCUCUCGCGAUUGGAUGAGCCGAUGUCGGAUUAGCUAGUUAGCGGGGUAAUGGCCCACCAGGGCGACGAUCCGUAGCUGGUCUGAGAGGAUGAUCAGCCACACUGGAACUGAGACACGGUCCAGACUCCUACGGGAGGCAGCAGUGGGGAAUAUUGGACAAUGGGCGCAAGCCUGAUCCAGCCAUACCGCGUGGGUGAAGAAGGCCUUCGGGUUGUAAAGCCCUUUUGUUGGGAAAGAAAUCUUUCAGGCUAAUACCCUGGGAGGAUGACGGUACCCAAAGAAUAAGCACCGGCUAACUUCGUG
rnacentral:rRNA from 1 species